rnacentral:rRNA from 1 species
AUGGCGACCGGCGCACGGGUGAGUAACACGUAUCCAACCUGCCGAUAACUCGGGGAUAGCCUUUCGAAAGAAAGAUUAAUACCCGAUGGUAUAAUCAGACCGCAUGGUUUGAUUAUUAAAGAAUUUCGGUUAUCGAUGGGGAUGCGUUCCAUUAGGCAGUUGGUGAGGUAACGGCUCACCAAACCUUCGAUGGAUAGGGGUUCUGAGAGGAAGGUCCCCCACAUUGGAACUGAGACACAGUCCAA